rnacentral:rRNA from 1 species
AUGACAGCGGAGCCGGUUCCGGUGCCGGUGGCGCCUGUGUCCGCUGCGGAGAAGCGGCGGCGGAGGCCCUCGUCGGGAUCGUCGUCGUGGAAGCCGACGCUGGUCGCCAUCUCCGAGGACGCUGCGGUGGCCGCCGCCAAGGCCGAUGCCGGAAAGGCCAAGGGCAAGCCGAAAGGGAAGCCGGCGGCGGCCAAGGCCAAGGCGAGGGCGUCGCCUCGCGCGCUCCGGCCUGACUACGACGACUUCCGGCGCUUCGGGGCGCCCACGGUGCUGCCGGCGUUCACGCCCACAGCGUUCCUCUUCUGA